UGAGACCACGAAAGAACAGACACAAAUGGCUUUAAAACAAAGACCCGUGUAUUUCUACUAGACUAUACAGAGGAUGCCUGUAGGAUGAAAGAAUCCUCACCACUUCACAUUCUACCAUGCCAGGCAUGGAGCUACUUUACAUUGAUGCCAGGUUGCCUGAGCCAGGACAUGAAGUAGAACGUAGGGUCCAAUUGCAAGUGAAAUCCCAGCUACUUUGACAAAUAAAACGUUUGGACACACGCAGUCCU